AUGAAAGGGAGAUAUCAAGGUGGAAUGGGGAAAUGCAAUGUUGCAAUGAUGUUGCUUUGGGUGUUGUUUUCCUUGUGUAGCAUUAUAGAAUUCAAAGUUGAAGCAAGAGCAUUAUCAUCUUUAGAUAGAGAAAUUGAAGCCAGAUUGAAGCUUCUAAACAAGCCUGCAGUGAAAUCUAUCAAG